GGGCUUGUAGCAUAAUUGGUAAUGCGCCUCGCUUGCAACGAGAUGACUGGGAGUUCGAGUCUCCCCUGGUCCA
rnacentral:tRNA from 1 species